AAUAGAUACCCUGGUAGUCCACGCCGUAAACGGUGGGCACUAGAUGUGGGGCUCUUUCCAUGAGUUCCGCGUCGCAGCUAACGCAUUAAGUGCCCCGCCUGGGGAGUACGGCCGCAAGGCUAAAACUCAAAGGAAUUGACGGGGGCCCGCACAAGCGGCGGAGCAUGCGGAUUAAUUCGAUGCAACGCGAAGAACCUUACCAAGGCUUGACAUAUACGGUCUAUCCCUAGAGAUAGGGAGUGCUUCGGCGCCGUAUACAGGUGGUGCAUGGUUGUCGUCAGCUCGUGUCGUGAGAUGUUGGGUUAAGUCCCGCAACGAGCGCAACCCUCGUUCUAUGUUGCCAGCGCGUAAUGGCGGGGACUCAUAGGAGACUGCCGGGGUCAACUCGGAGGAAGGUGGGGAUGACGUCAAAUCAUCAUGCCCCUUAUGUCUUGGGCUUCACGCAUGCUACAAUGGCCGGUACAAAGGGCUGCAAUGCCGUAAGGUGGAGCGAAUCCCAAAAAGCCGGUCUCAGUUCGGAUUG
rnacentral:rRNA from 1 species